AGCCUGCCAGAAGGAUCAGUUAGGCCAUUUUUGAAGACAAGAAGUGCUUCUCUCUCUGUGUCUAUGCAUUUAACAUUGAGAUUCUCAUCAGCUAAACAGACAUUAUGAUGUGGAAAGAACAAACAUAAAAUGAGUAGAAAGUGAAAAAAGAGAUGACAAAGUGAAUUGAAGCAGCCAUUAGUAUCCAUACUGAUAGAUUUGUUGGUGGUGAUGGAUAAAGCUGGCAACUGAAAUUUAUACUGGAUUAUGAUUCAUGUAGUGAGAAUUAGUGGAAAUGUACAGAUUUGCGAGUCACGAGCCCAAGAAAUUCUAAAUGUGAAAAUGGGAAGAUAGUGUUAGCUGACUCUGCUACUUCCAUUAUUAUGGUGGCAUGCCCACUUGUCAUUUUGCCAGAAUGGUGAGAGUAGGUCAUGGAAGUAAAAGUUUCCUUGUUU
rnacentral:lncRNA from 1 species